UUGUGGUUAAAAAGCUCGUAGUUGGAUCUCGGCGGACUGAGGGCGGUUUGCUUGCUAGUAUUACUGCCCUAUAGUCCGUAGUUUUGCCAGAGGUUUCGGGGUGCUCUUAAUCGAGUGUCUAGGGAUGCUGGCAGGUUUACUUUGAAAAAAUUAGAGUGCUCAAAGCAGGCUAUUACGCUUGAAUAUUCGUGCAUGGAAUAAUAGAAUAGGAAGUUGUUUCUAUUUUGUUGGUUUUCGGAAAUCGACUUAAUGAUUAAUAGGGACAGUCGGGGGCAUUUGUAUUCAAACGACAGAGGUGAAAUUCUUGGACCGUUUGAAGACAAACUACUGCGAAAGCAUUUGCCAAGAAUGUUUUCAUUAAUCAAGAACGAAAGUUAGAGGUUCGAAGGCGAUUAGAUACCGCCCUAGUUCUAACCAUAAACGAUGCCAGCUAGCGAUCUGAGGACGUUUUUUUUGUAGACUCCUCAGGAAGCUUCCGGGAAACCAAAGCGUGUGGGUUCCGGGGGAAGUAUGGUUGCAAAGCUGGAACUUAAAGGAAUUGAC
rnacentral:rRNA from 1 species